rnacentral:rRNA from 1 species
GGACAACCUACCCUCAGCACGGGGAUAAACCCGGGAAACUGGGUAUAAUACCCGAUAGUUCUGGUUAGCUGGAAUGCUUCCAGGACGAAAGCUCCGGCGACUGAGGAUGGGUCUGCGGCCUAUCAGGUAGUAGUGGGUGUAAUGUACCUACUAGCCUACGACGGGUACGGGUUGUGAGAGCAAGAGCCCGGAGAUGGAUUCUGAGACACGAAUCCAGGCCCUACGGGGUGCAGCAGGCGCGAAAACUUUACAAUGCAGGCAACUGCGAUAGGGGAACAUCGAGUGAUACUCAUAUUGGGUGUCUGUCCUCCCGUCUAAAAAACGGGAGUUAGCAAGGGCCGGGCAAGACCGGUGCCAGCCGCCGCGGUAAUACCGGGGGCUCGAGUGGUGGCCGAUAUUAUUGAGUCUAAAGGGUCCGUAGCCGGCUUUGCAAGUCUUUUGGGAAAUCCAGCGGCUUAACCGUUGGGCGUCCGGGAGAUACUACAUUGCUUGGGACUGGGAGAGGUAAGAGGUACUCAGGGGGUAGGAGUGAAAUCCUGUAAUCCUUUGGGGACCACCGGUGGCGAAGGCGUCUUACCAGAACAGGUCCGACGGUGAGGGACGAAAGCUAGGGGCACGAACCGGAUUAGAUACCCGGGUAGUCCUAGCCGUAAACGAUGCUCGCUAGGUGUCACAACAAUCGUGAAUUGUUGUGGUGCCGUAGGGAAGCCGUGAAGCGAGCCACUUGGGAAGUACGACCGCAAGGUUGAAACUUAA